CUAAUAUUAUGAGCUUAAAUUACCUGAACUAGUUUAUCAACAAAUGAACCCUAAUUAUUGCUAAGAAGUAUGUUGGGGAAAUUAAUAAUUGAUAUGGUGUGGUGUGUGAGGAAUUAUCCUGCAUAUAGCCCACACUGCAAUCAUCGCGCAUCUGAUGUUCCUCCAAGAAAUCUCAAUCAGAUCUUCUCGAUUGGAGAUAAAAAGUAGGCCGCAC
rnacentral:lncRNA from 1 species